UACGUAGGGGGCAAGCGUUGUCCGGAUUUAUUGGGCGUAAAGAGCGUGUAGGCGGCCAGGUAGGUCCGUUGUGAAAACUGGAGGCUUAACCUCCAGCUGUCGAUGGAAACCAUCUGGCUAGAGUCCGGAAGAGGAGAGUGGAAUUCCUGGUGUAGCGGUGAAAUGCGCAGAUAUCAGGAAGAACACCCGUGGCGAAGGCGGCUCUCUGGGACGGUACUGACGCUGAGACGCGAAAGCGUGGGGAGCGAUCAGG
rnacentral:rRNA from 1 species